rnacentral:rRNA from 1 species
UACGUAGGUGGCAAGCGUUGUCCGGAUUUACUGGGUGUAAAGGGUGCGCAGGCGGGACUGCAAGUUGGAUGUGAAACUCCGAGGCUCAACCUCAGAACUGCAUCCAAAACUGUGGUUCUUGAGUGGAGUAGAGGUAAGCGGAAUUCCGAGUGUAGCGGUGAAAUGCGUAGAUAUUCGGAGGAACACCAGUGGCGAAGGCGGCUUACUGGGCUCUAACUGACGCUGAGGCACGAAAGUGUGGGUAGCAAACAGGAUUAGAUACCCGU